ACCUGGAGCGUGCAAAAUUUUGAUCUUCUUUCCAGAUUCUCUUUCCGGAGGACAUGCUCGAAAAAAGAUACGAAAAUCGCGACCGUCUGAAAUUACUCGAUUAUCCACACAGGUCGAUAGCCGUCAGGAAUCUAGCUAAACUGCACGGCUAUGGUUUCGUAUAGCUUGGAAAGAAACUCGAAAUUUUUUAAAAAAUUCAAAAUCUCGAGGACAUAAUGUUCGUGGGACCUUUUGGAAAAAAAUCAAAACUUCUCAACACGUCUGAGACACCUUUGCAACGUGGCCGUGCAGGUGACGUCACUCCAGGUAAAAUAAUAAUAAAAAGCCAAAAAAAUUUUUUUUUUCAAAAUUUCACAGAGCAUCGAAAAUGUCGACCGACGUUACGUCGACAAACUUCAAAAUUUUCUCGACGACUUUCCCUCGAAAAUUGCCAAAGCCUGCGACGGUAACCUUGCCGAGCCUUACGCGACGCUUUGUCACGGCGACGCAUAGACGUCGAAUUCUUUGUUCAAAUACAAGGACGAGAAUAAAACAAAACCCACCCACAUGUACUUCGUGGACUUUCAACUGUGUCGAUGCGCCGCGCCAAUCACCGACCUGACAUACAUGAUAUUUUGUCGCUGUAUAGCAAAGAAACUAGAGAUCGAUACUACGAUCGAUUGCAUCAAGAUUAUUACGAAUCUCUCUCGGACACCUUAUGAAAAAUGGAUUGCGAUCCGGAAACACUUUAUCCGAUAAGCGCUUUUGAGGAUCAACCAAAGAAAUUUGGUUGCUUUGGAACCGGAAUGGCAAUCACGACCAUACAACUAUUCACCAAAGUUAACGCAACGCUUGAACCCACCGAUCUAUAUUUCGAAAGGGAAGAUCUAGUAGAUCGAUUAAAAACCGAUAACGUAUACAGAACCAUGUUAGUGGAUACGAUAAAGGACAGCGUGGACUACGGUUACACACGAUCAUUAUGAAUUUGACAAAUAUAUAAAAAAAAUAUAUUUUCUUUGCAAUUAUCACUAAAGUGUAUUAUCUGUCUUAAAUUAAAUUAAAUCGAUCGAUAACGUU